CAGCUCUUUUCAGGGAAGAGCACAAGACUGAGUAUCCACUGUAAGCAGAGCACUAUUCCAGGCGUGCCCUGUGGGGAGAACACUGAACUUGAAACCUCUAGUGUGCAGAGCAUUAGACGAGCCAUCUGGGAACAUGCCAAAAGUAGGAGAAACUGCCCUUGAGGAAUCUACAAUGGAUACCCAGAGAUGUAAUUCAGGUCUUCGAAGUGCAUGAUGAAUCAGUCUUCAAGGAAUUAGUCAAAGGGCUAAGCUCUGUGCAAGUUGAAAUGGACGUGGGGAUUUUUAACUCGCCUACCCGGGAAUAUUGUUAAAGAUCCAUCGCACAUUUCCUCCAGCUAGGAAGAAGUCAAUCACAUCUUGUCAUCAAUUGAGAAGAAGAAAAAAGAGGGGAACGCGAGUGUAAAUUAUAAACGAUACCACCUUCAAAAUUGUAAACAA